CACGCCGUAAACGAUGAUAACUAGAUGUAGAAGGUAUUGACCCCUUCUGUAUCGAAGCUAACGCAUUAAGUUAUCCGCCUGGGGAGUACGGUCGCAAGAUUAAAACUCAAAGAAAUUGACGGGGGCCCGCACAAGCGGUGGAGUAUGUGGUUUAAUUCGACGCAACACGAAGAACCUUACCUGGGUUAGAAAUCAAAGAGACGGUUUCUAGAGAUAGAUUCCUUCCCUCACGGGACUCUUUGACAGGUGC
rnacentral:rRNA from 1 species